ACCGUGGUAAUUCUAGAGCUAAUACAUGCUUAAACGCCCGACUUUAUGGAAGGGUGGUAUUUAUUAGACUGAAGCCAAUAUUCCUUGUGUCUAUUGCGGUGAUUCAUAAUAACUGAUCGAAUCUCUUUUUGAGAUAAAUCAUUCAAGUUUCUGCCCUAUCAGCUUUCGAUGGUAGUGUAUUGGACUACCAUGGCAGUAACGGGUAACGAAGAAUUAGGGUUCGAUUUCGGAGAGGGAGCAUGAGAAACGGCUACCACAUCUAAGGAAGGCAGCAGGCGCGUAAAUUACCCAAUCCUGACUCAGGGAGGUAGUGACAAGAAAUAGCAAACCGGGAACCUCAUGGUUUCACGGUAUUGCAAUGAGAACAAUUUAAAACCCUUAGCGAGAAUCAAGUGGAGGACAAGUCUGGUGCCAGCACCCGCGGUAAUUCCAGCUCCACUAGCGUAUAUUAAAGUUGUUGCAGUUAAAAAGCUCGUAGUUGAACCUCUGUCUGGGGCUAGUUUUGGCUUUGGUCAGGCUAGUUCUAGGCAUCCGCCUACAAGACUUAGAGGGCAUUCAGUUGUUCACUAGGAGGAGUAGGCAUUUUACUUUGAAAAAAUUAGAGUGUUUAAGGCAGGCAAUCGCCCGCAUAUAUUAGCAUGGAAUAAUAGAAUAGGACACUUUUCCAUUUCGUUGGUUAUUGGAAUCGUGUAAUGAUUAAUAGGGACAGUUGUGGGCAUUUGUAUUUAAUUGUCAGAGGUGAAAUUCUUGGAUUUAUUAAAGACAAACUAACGCGAAAGCAUUUGCCAAGGAUGUUUUCAUUAAUCAAGAACGAAAGUUAGGGGAUCAAAGACGAUCAGAUACCGUCCUAGUCUUAACUAUAAACUAUUCCGACUCAAUGUUUGACUGGCUUAUAUAACCAGUUGAGCGUUGUAUGAGAAAUCAAAGUCUUUAGGUUCUGGGGGGAGUAUGGUUGCAAAGCUGAAACUUAAAGGAAUUGACGGAAGAGCACAACCAGGAGUGGAUUCUGCGGCUUAAUUUGACUCAACACGGGGAAACUUACCAGGUUAAAACAAUAGUGGGAUUGACAGUUUGAGAGCGCUUUCUUGAUUGGUUGGGUGGUGGUGCAUGGCCGUUCUUAGUUGGUGGAGUGAUUUGUCUGCUUAAUUGCGUUAACGAACGAGACCUUAACCUGCUUACUAGACUGGCGAUCAUCAAUCGUUAGCUCUUCUUAGAGGGACUUUGGUUGUUUUAACUCCAAGGAAGUUUGAGGCAAUAACAGGUCUGUGAUGCCCUUAGAUAUCCUGGGCCGCACGCGUCA
rnacentral:rRNA from 1 species